UACGAAGGGGGCUAGCGUUGCUCGGAAUCACUGGGCGUAAAGCGCACGUAGGCGGAUUGUUAAGUCAGGGGUGAAAUCCUGGAGCUCAACUCCAGAACUGCCUUUGAUACUGGCGAUCUUGAGUCCGGGAGAGGUGAGUGGAACUGCGAGUGUAGAGGUGAAAUUCGUAGAUAUUCGCAAGAACACCAGUGGCGAAGGCGGCUCACUGGCCCGGUACUGACGCUGAGGUGCGAAAGCAUGGGGAGCAAACAGG
rnacentral:rRNA from 1 species